UGGGGAAUCUUGCGCAAUGGGCGAAAGCCUGACGCAGCGACGCCGCGUGGGUGAUGAAGGCCUUCGGGUUGUAAAGCCCUGUGGAGGGGAUGAGGAAGGACAGUACCCUCAGAAUAAGCCUCGGCUAACUACGUGCCAGCAGCCGCGGUAAAACGUAGGAGGCGAGCGUUAUCCGGAUUUACUGGGCGUAAAGCGCGUGCAGGCGGAUUGGAGAGUUGGAUGUGAAAGCUCCCGGCUUAACUGGGAGAGGUCGUUCAAUACUUCCAGUCUUGAGUGCAGUAGAGGGAAGUGGAAUUCCGGGUGUAGUGGUGAAAUGCGUAGAUAUCCGGAGGAACACCAGUGGCGAAAGCGGCUUCCUGGACUGUAACUGACGCUCAGACGCGAAAGCUAGGGUAGCAAACG
rnacentral:rRNA from 1 species